rnacentral:tRNA from 1 species
GGGGGCGUCGCAUAGUGGUCAAUUGCGGGGGAUUGUAAUUCCCCAGACAAAAGGUCUUCGUCAGUUCAAAUCUGGCCGUCCCCA